UUAGUUCAACAGAAAAAAGGUACCUUUACAAAAAUGUAUGCUUCUUUCGAAGGCAGGUUGUGAACGGUGACCCCAUUUUUUUUUAUUAAGUAUAAGAUUUAAGUACGUUUAUCAUUUUUACAGAAACAAUUUUUCCUUGUAGAUGUUACAGAUACAUUCAUACAAAUGAUGUUGAAGAAACAAAGAGAAAAGGAACUUGGACUGUACCAUUUUGUUUGCAGCUUUUAAGAUAAAGGAGAUAAAUUUCCUCUGUUGACAAAAAAAUGGUUGAGGAGUCGGAAAGUUUGACUGAAGAUUAAGGAUAUCAAAUGAAGAUUAUUAUUGAAAAAAGAGAACUUUGAAGUACUAGGAGAAUUUGAAAACAUCUUGGUGAAAUAGUUUGACUGAUUAUGACAGAAAAUCAAAAGAA